GAGAACCAAGAACAGAGGUUAAAGCUAACAGACCAUCCUUUAGACGCAAACAACAACAAUGGCAUCCAAAGUUCUAAUCGUUUUCCUGGCCAUGAUCGUAGUCACAAUGGCCUGGACUUCGAAGAUGACUUGACAGACGGGCAGAUAGCAGCCGACAUGGAGUUCAUCAAGCGCGAUCCAUUCAUGCAAGAUUUCUUCUUAGCUGAGAAGCGGGGCAGGAACAUGAAGAAGUACAGACUUUGCCCUACUCAGGCUAAUCCUACCCAGGAAUGUUGGUGCACAAGAAGGAAGAACAAGUUCCUCUUCUGCACAGAACAAGGCAAGGGAAAUAUCUAACUCAUAGGAACAGAAAGAGAAUCUCAAGACGUGCUGCGUGUAAAAGAAAGUUGAAUUGCCAUCCAUGUUUAACGACCUACACUUGUUUUCUGAUUAUGAUUUAAUUGUAGAAUAAAUUUCAUUAAAUUUCUUCA